rnacentral:rRNA from 1 species
CCUACGGGAGGCUGCAGUGGGGAAUAUUGGACAAUGGGCGAAAGCCUGAUCCAGCCAUGCCGCGUGUGUGAAGAAGGCCUUCGGGUUGUAAAGCACUUUCAGUGGGGAAGAAAGCCUUGGGGCUAAUACCCUCGAGGAAGGACAUCACCCACAGAAGAAGCACCGGCUAACUCCGUGCCAGCAGCCGCGGUAAUACGGAGGGUGCGAGCGUUAAUCGGAAUUACUGGGCGUAAAGCGCGCGUAGGCGGUCUGAUAAGCCGGUUGUGAAAGCCCCGGGCUCAACCUGGGAACGGCAUCCGGAACGGUCAGGCUAGAGUGCAGGAGAGGAAGGUAGAAUUCCCGGUGUAGCGGUGAAAUGCGUAGAGAUCGGGAGGAAAACCAGUGGCGAAGGCGGCCUUCUGGACUGACACUGACGCUGAGGUGCGAAAGCGUGGGUAGCAAACAGGAUUAGAUACCCCAGUAGUC